UACGAAGGGUGCGAGCGUUAUUCGGAAUUACUGGGCGUAAAGGGUGCGUAGACGGCAUGUUAAGUCCGCUGUUAAAUAUUCCGGCCUAACCGGAAAAAUGCGGUAGAAACUGGCGUGCUAGAGGGUGGAAGAGAGAAGUGGAAUUCCCGGAGUAGCGGUAAAAUGCGUAGAUCUCGGGAGGAACACCAAUGGCGAAGGCAGCUUCUUGGUCCAUACCUGACGUUGAGGCACGAAAGCGUGGGGAGCAAACAGG
rnacentral:rRNA from 1 species